rnacentral:rRNA from 1 species
UACGUAGGGGGCAAGCGUUGUCCGGAUUUAUUGGGCGUAAAGAGCGUGUAGGCGGCCCGACAAGUCUGCUGUGAAAACUCGAGGCUCAACCUCGAGCUGUCGGUGGAAACUGUCUGGCUAGAGUCCGGAAGAGGAGAGUGGAAUUCCUGGUGUAGCGGUGAAAUGCGCAGAUAUCAGGAAGAACACCUAUGGCGAAGGCAGCUCUCUGGGACGGUACUGACGCUGAGACGCGAAAGCGUGGGGAGCGAACAGG